AUUGAACGCUGGCGGCAUGCUUUACACAUGCAAGUCGAACGGUAACAGGCCGCAAGGUGCUGACGAGUGGCGAACGGGUGAGUAAUGCAUCGGAACGUGCCCAGUCGUGGGGGAUAACUACUCGAAAGAGUAGCUAAUACCGCAUACGAUCUAUGGAUGAAAGCGGGGGACCGUAAGGCCUCGCGCGAUUGGAGCGGCCGAUGUCAGAUUAGGUAGUUGGUGGGGUAAAGGCUCACCAAGCCAACGAUCUGUAGCUGGUCUGAGAGGACGACCAGCCACACUGGGACUGAGACACGGCCCAGACUCCUACGGGAGACAGCAGUGGGGAAUUUUGGACAAUGGGCGCAAGCCUGAUCCAGCAAUGUCGCGUGCAGGAAGAAGGCCUUCGGGUUGUAAACUGCUUUUGUACGGAACGAAACGGCUCUGGUUAAUACCCGGGGCUAAUGACGGUACCGUAAGAAUAAGCACCGGCUAACUACGUG
rnacentral:rRNA from 1 species